AGCUUUGCGCAGUGUGGCAUUAUCAUGGCCAAUGAGGUUUACCCAAGGUACGAUUAUUGCUAAUUGAAAAAAGUAAUAAUAAAG
ensembl:snRNA U4 U4 spliceosomal RNA